CCUACGGGUGGCAGCAGUGGGGAAUAUUGCACAAUGGGGGAAACCCUGAUGCAGCGACGCCGCGUGAGUGAAGAAGUAUUUCGGUAUGUAAAGCUCUAUCAGCAGGGAAGAAAUAGCGACCUUUGGGUCGCCAGACGGUACCUGACUAAGAAGCCCCGGCUAACUACGUGCCAGCAGCCGCGGUAAUACGUAGGGGGCAAGCGUUAUCCGGAAUCAUUGGGCGUAAAGAGUUCGUAGGCGGCAUGUAAAGUCAGGUGUUAAAGGCGCAGGCUCAACCUGUGUAUGGCACUUGAUACUUGCAAGCUGGAAUGCAGUAGAGGUAAAGGGAAUUCCUGGUGUAGCGGUGAAAUGCUUAGAUAUCAGGAGGAACAUCGGUGGCGUAAGCGCUUUACUGGGCCGUAAUUGACGCUGAGGAACGAAAGCCAGGGUAGCAAAUGGGAUUAGAUACCCCAGUAGUC
rnacentral:rRNA from 1 species